rnacentral:rRNA from 1 species
UACGGGGGGGGCAAGCGUUGUUCGGAAUUACUGGGCGUAAAGGGUCUGUAGGUGGCUUGCUAAGUCAGACGUGAAAUCCCUCAGCUUAACUGGGGAACUGCGUCUGAGACUGGCGAGCUUGAGGGCAGGAGAGGAACGCGGAAUUCCAGGUGUAGCGGUGAAAUGCGUAGAUAUCUGGAGGAACACCGGUGGCGAAGGCGGCGUUCUGGACCGUAACUGACGCUGAGACACGAAAGCGUGGGUAGCAAACAGG